CUCCCCUUGGGGGCGCGAGAGGAGCGGCGGGCUGGCGGGGGGGAAGCUGGACAGAGGCGCCUCGGGAUACGUGCGACCCCCGCCGUGAGCUGACUUCCAAGUCGCCCAGAAGCUAGAACCAACAAAGACGCACACCCAAGAAUGAGUCCAUGAGGGAGUUAUCGGGAGAAGAAACUUUCUUCAGAGUGGGCUCUCCCUUACGGUUCUGCCUCAGGCAUACAGACAAGACUCCAAACAACCGGCUGCCUGCCUGCCUGAUUGCGCGGCUGCUAUGGCUCUUCUUAUCCUUCACCGACAUCAGAACCUAGGCCCAUCUUCCAAAAUGGACUGAAGACCAGCGACUGGCAGGGAAUCCUCCAAGCCUUUAGCACCAGAUCAUGAAUACAGAGGCAUCCAGUUUCGUUGACGGAGCAGCCAUUGGCCCUUGGUCUCCCUGGCAGAUAGUCGAUAUAUUUGGCUGCCCAAGUAAUUGUAUCGUAUAUUUGAUGCUAGUAAAUCUCUUUUCAAUUUACA